rnacentral:rRNA from 1 species
CAGUAGCCGCGGUAAUACAGAGGGUGCAAGCGUUAAUCGGAUUUACUGGGCGUAAAGCGUGCGUAGGUGGCUGUUUAAGUCGGAUGUGAAAGCCCUGGGCUUAACCUGGGAACUGCAUUCGAUACUGGAUAGCUAGAGAUCGGUAGAGGGCAGCGGAAUUCCGGGUGUAGCGGUGAAAUGCGUAGAUAUCCGGAGGAACACCGAUGGCGAAGGCAACUGCCUGGGCCUGAUCUGACACUGAGGCACGAAAGCGUGGGUAGCAAACAGGAUUAGAGACCCCAGUAGUCCCUGUCUCUUAUAC